UACGUAGGCAGCGAGCGUUGUUCGGAAUUACUGGGCGUAAAGAGUGUGUAGGCGGUGUUCCCAGUCUGUUGUGAAAUCUCCCGGCUUAACUGGGAGGGUGCAGCGGAAACUAGAAUGCUAGAGGGUGGGAGAGGUAAGCGGAAUUCCACGUGUAGCGGUGAAAUGCGUAGAGAUGUGGAGGAACACCAGUGGCGAAGGCGACUCUCUGGUCUGUAACUGACGCUGAGGAGCGAAAGCGUGGGGAGCAAACAGG
rnacentral:rRNA from 1 species